AAACGCUAGUUUAGGUUAGCAUGCUAAUGCAGCAGGCUAAACAACAUGGAUAUUUACAUAUUGGAUACUGUCCAGCAAUCUGAGCAAUAAGCGGAGCAGAUGAAUGAACCUACGCUGGUCCAUUCUUCACAUCAGAAGUGACCAGACGUCACCAUCUCCAGGAUGAUUUGCCAUCGCAGAGCAAGUGAUUUGCUGAAGAUCAGAUUUGUCCACUCUUACAAAUAAGCAAAUGAAUUGAGUAGCACGUUACACUCAAGAAAA